GGAGUUCGGUCCGUGUCUCAGUACCGAUGUGUGGGACCUUCCUUUUAGAACCCAUAGGCAUCAUCGUCUUGGUGGGCCGUUGCCCCGCCAACUAACUAAUGCCACGCAUGCCCAUCCGCAACCUAUGAAUAUUUAAUCAAAAGGGGAUGCCCCCUCUCGAUACUAUCGGAGUUUAAUCGUCCUUUCGGUCGGCUAUCUCCGUGUUGCGGGCAGGUUGCAUACGCGUUACUCACCCGUCCGCCGCUCGCCACCAAUGUAUUGCUACACCGUGCUGCCGCUCGACUUGCAUGUGUUAGGCCUGCCGCUAGCGUUUAUC
rnacentral:rRNA from 1 species